GACGAACGCUGGCGGCGUGCUUAACACAUGCAAGUCGAACGGAAAGGCCUCUUUCGGGGGGUACUCGAGUGGCGAACGGGUGAGUAACACGUGAGUAACCUGCCCUUGACUUUGGGAUAACUUCAGGAAACUGGGGCUAAUACCGGAUAGGAGCUCCUGCUGCAUGGUGGGGGUUGGAAAGUUUCGGCGGUUGGGGAUGGACUCGCGGCUUAUCAGCUUGUUGGUGGGGUAGUGGCUUACCAAGGCUUUGACGGGUAGCCGGCCUGAGAGGGUGACCGGCCACAUUGGGACUGAGAGACGGCCCAGACUCCUACGGGAGGCAGCAGUGGGGAAUAUUGCACAAUGGGUGGGAGCCGGAUGCAGCAACGCCGUGUGCGGGAUGACGGCCUUCGGGUUGUAAACCGCUUUCGCUCAUGACGAAGCUUUGUGUGACGGUAGUGGGUAAAGAAGCACCGGCUAACUACGUG
rnacentral:rRNA from 1 species